rnacentral:rRNA from 1 species
UACAGGGGGGGCAAGCGUUGUUCGGAAUUACUGGGCGUAAAGGGCUCGUAGGUGGCCAACUAAGUCAGACGUGAAAUCCCUCAGCUUAACUGGGGAACUGCGUCUGAUACUGGAUGGCUUGAGUUUGGGAGAGGGAUGCGGAAUUCCAGGUGUAGCGGUGAAAUGCGUAGAUAUCCUAAGGAACACCGGUGGCGAAGGCGGCGUCCUGGACCAACACUGACACUGAGGAGCGAAAGCCAGGGGAGCAAACGGG